UACGUAGGGUGCAAGCGUUAAUCGGAAUUACUGGGCGUAAAGCGUGCGCAGGCGGUUUUGUAAGCCGGAUGUGAAAUCCCCGGGCUUAACCUGGGAAUGGCAUUUGGGACUGCAAGGCUGGAGUGUGGCAGAGGAGACUGGAAUUCCUGGUGUAGCAGUGAAAUGCGUAGAUAUCAGGAGGAAUACCGAUGGCGAAGGCAGGUCUCUGGGCUGACACUGACGCUCAUGCACGAAAGCGUGGGGAGCAAACAGG
rnacentral:rRNA from 1 species